AGCGAACGCUGGCGGCAGGCUUAACACAUGCAAGUCGAGCGGGCAUCCUUGUGGUGUCAGCGGCAGACGGGUGAGUAACGCGUGGGAACGUGCCCUUCGGUUCGUAAUAACUCAGGGAAACUUGAGCUAAUACCGGAUACGUGCGAGAGCAGAAAGGUUUAUCUGCCGAAGGAUCGGCCCGCGUCUGAUUAGCUAGUUGGUGAGGUUAUGGCUCACCAAGGCGACGAUCAGUAGCUGGUCUGAGAGGAUGAUCAGCCACACUGGGACUGAGACACGGCCCAGACUCCUACGGGAGGCAGCAGUGGGGAAUAUUGGACAAUGGGGGAAAGCCUGAUCCAGCCAUGCCGCGUGAGUGAUGACGGACUUAGGGUUGUAAAGCUCUUUUCUUCGGGACGAUAAUGACGGUACCGGAGGAAUAAGCCCCGGCUAACUUCGUG
rnacentral:rRNA from 1 species